rnacentral:rRNA from 1 species
UACGUAGGGAGCAAGCGUUGUCCGGAAUCAUUGGGCGUAAAGCGCGCGUAGGUGGCUUCGUAAGUCCGUUGUGAAAGUCAAAGGCUCAACCUUUGAAAGCCGAUGGAUACUGCGGGGCUAGAGUACGGAAGAGGCGAGUGGAAUUCCUGGUGUAGCGGUGGAAUGCGCAGAUAUCAGGAGGAACACCAAUAGCGAAGGCAGCUCGCUGGGACGUUACUGACACUGAGGCGCGAAAGCGUGGGGAGCGAACAGG